rnacentral:rRNA from 1 species
UGAGGAAUAUUGCCCAAUGGACGCAAGUCUGAGGCAGCAACGCCGCGUGGACGAUGAAGGCCUUCGGGUUGUAAAGUCCUUUUCUGGGGGACGAGAACGGACGGUACCUCAGGAAUAAGUCACGGCUAACUACGUGCCAGCAGCCGCGGUAAUACGUAGGUGGCUAGCGUUAUCCGGAUUCACUGGGCGUAAAGCGCGUGCAGGCGGUUCCGUAAGUCGAGCGUGAAAGCUCCUGGCUUAACUGGGAGAGGUCGUUCGAUACUGCGGGACUUGAGGUUGGGAGAGGGACGUGGAAUUCCCGGUGUAGUGGUGGAAUGCGUAGAGAUCGGGAGGAACACCAGUGGCGAAGGCGGCGUCCUGGCCCACACCUGACGCUGAGACGCGAAAGCGUGGGGAGCGAACGGG